GUAUAAGUUUACCAACGCUUGUUAAGGCGAAGAUAUGGAUUACAUUCUAUGAAUACAGAGUUGGUGAUAAAGACAUAGGGGCCUUUUUACGGGCCCUUACAUUGGGUUCACAGGUGUGUGUGGAUUUAAAGGUUCAGGUGUGCACGUGCCCCGAGAGGCCAGCAACAACCCUUACCGAUAGUUUCAAUAAUGAUCCUUCCGCAGGUUCACCUACGGAAA
rnacentral:misc_RNA from 1 species